rnacentral:rRNA from 1 species
AGUGAACGCUGGCGGUAGGCCUAACACAUGCAAGUCGAACGGCAGCACAGUAAGAGCUUGCUCUUACGGGUGGCGAGUGGCGGACGGGUGAGGAAUACAUCGGAAUCUACUUUUUCGUGGGGGAUAACGUAGGGAAACUUACGCUAAUACCGCAUACGACCUACGGGUGAAAGCAGGGGAUCUUCGGACCUUGCGCGAUUGAAUGAGCCGAUGUCGGAUUAGCUAGUUGGCGGGGUAAAGGCCCACCAAGGCGACGAUCCGUAGCUGGUCUGAGAGGAUGAUCAGCCACACUGGAACUUAGACACGGUCCAGACGCCUACGGGAGGCAGCAGUGGGGAAUAUUGGACAAUGGGCGCAAGCCUGAUCCAGCCAUACCGCGUGGGUGAAGAAGGCCUUCGGGUUGGAAAGCCCUUUUGUUGGGAAAGAAAAGCAGCAGGUUAAUACCCCGCUGUUCUGACGGUACCCAAAGAAUAAGCACCGGCUAACUUCGUG